UGGGGAAUAUUGGACAAUGGGCGCAAGCCUGAUCCAGCCAUGCCGCGUGAGUGAUGAAGGCCUUGGGGUUGUAAAGCUCUUUUGUCCGGGAAGAUAAUGACUGUACCGGAAGAAUAAGCCCCGGCUAACUUCGUGCCAGCAGCCGCGGUAAUACGAAGGGGGCUAGCGUUGCUCGGAAUCACUGGGCGUAAAGGGCGCGUAGGCGGACUCUUAAGUCGGGGGUGAAAGCCCAGGGCUCAACCCUGGAAUUGCCUUCGAUACUGAGAGUCUUGAGUUCGGAAGAGGUUGGUGGAACUGCGAGUGUAGAGGUGAAAUUCGUAGAUAUUCGCAAGAACACCAGUGGCGAAGGCGGCCAACUGGUCCGAUACUGACGCUGAGGCGCGAAAGCGUGGGGAGCAAACAGG
rnacentral:rRNA from 1 species